GGAAUAAAAAAAAAAUGAUUCUGAUGAUUAAAUUGAACAUCGUUUUUUUCUAACAUAAUUUUAGGUUUGUUCAAUUGAUUCAAGAUAUUUAAAACCAUGUAAAUAUGUUUUCUCUAACUGUUCCGAUCUCAACAUCGGUAAUUUUCGUAUAUAUGACACAAUAUGAUUGGUCAGAUUUUAAAACUCUUCCGUACUGUUCUCUGAUUGGUCAACAAUAUUUCACCCACGCCAUUUUGAAAAUUCUUCCCGGGACGUGUUGAGAAAGCUGGAGGUGAUUUUGAAUAAACUCUCAUUUGCUCGCGAGUAAAAUGGAUCGAAAAACAGAAGUUCAGCAUAAUCAUGGUACACAGGAUCAUAUAUAUGAACCAAGGAAAGCAAAUACAUAAGGAGACUGACGUUUUUUAGGCAUCAUAUCCGGACUUUUCUGGUGUAAACAACGACAGUUGCGUCAGCAGAACAUUGAAGAAAAGCUGAUUAGUCAUGGAGGAAGAAGAUCCCUCUCAAGAAAGUAUUGCAGUGAUGAAGUCAGAUGAGAUGACAGGUUGUGUGAUUUGAAGAUGGACUUCUGCAACAAAGUAAACACUCCUCUACCUUCUCCAUACAAAAGAA